rnacentral:rRNA from 1 species
AUACGUAGGUGACAAGCGUUAUCCGGAUUUACUGGGCGUAAAGGGCGUGUAGGCGGUCUUGCAAGUCAGAAGUGAAAUUCCUGAGCUCAACUCGGGCGCUGCUUCUGAAACUGCAGGACUUGAGUGCUGGAGGGGAUAGCGGAAUUCCUAGUGGAGCGGUAAAAUGCGCAGAUAUUAGGAAGAACACCGGUGGCGAAGGCGGCUAUCUGGACAGUAACUGACGCUGAGGCGCGAAAGCGUGGGGAGCAAACAGGAUUAGAUACCCUAGUAGUCCACGCCGUAAACGAUGAAUACUAAGUGUUGGAAUUAUCCAGUGCUGCAGUUAACGCAAUAAGUAUUCCGCCUGGGGAGUAUGCACGCAAGUGUGAAACUCAAAGGAAUUGGCGGGG